ACAACACAAGAAAUACUGGCGAGCUAAAGGCCCAAUAACCAUAGCCCCUUCUAAUACUAUUUUGGUUACUGCCAAGCAUCAGAAAAUUGGGCCUCUUCCAACUCAAGCCACCAUGGAGCAACCUAUUGAAGCAGACGAUGAAGUAGACUCUAAUUCAGAGCAGAGACUUCCUUUCUUAUGCAUGUCAAGACGAUUUCAGAGUUACAUCCACCCGAUGGGAUUUCAUAGGAGUAUAUGGGCCGCACAUUAAUCUGGAGAGGGAAAUCCUUUGGCAUGAACUUGGGGCUGUUAGAGGAAUAUAGGAUGUUCAAUGGGUAAUUGGUGGUGUCUUCAAUGUCUGUAGGUUUGAAAGUGAAAGAUACAAUUGUGUUAGAAGAUCCAGGGCAAUGAAGGUGUUCUCAUAUGCAAUCAAUGACAUAUGCUUAGUAGAUUUACCACUUCAUGGGGCGCAUUUUCACAUGGUCUAAAGAGGAGGAAAGCAUCCAAGCCUCAGGAAUAGACAAAUUUUUUAUCUCCUCUGAGUGGAAUGACACUUUCAAUAAUGUCAAGCAACUUGCUCUUCCAAAGGUCAUUUCUGAACACAUUUCUAUCCAACUGGAAAGUAGAUAUUGGGGAACUAAUCCUUCAUACAUUAAAUUUGAAAACAUGUGGCUAAGUAUUGAUGGAUUCUUGCAUAGAAUAAUGGCAUGGUGGCAAAGCUAUAAAGUAAAUGGCAGUCCAGACUUCAUUUUCACUCAGAAAUUGAAGCUACUCAAGAAAAAUAUUAUUACUUGGAAUAGGGAGGAUCUGGAGAAGUCAGAUGCAAAAAAGAACAAAAUUUUGGAGGACAUAUUCGUGAAACAACAGAUCACUUAAAGGGAGAUCCCAAUCCUUGGAAGAGAAAAAGAAUUUCGAGGGGUGAAAUAAAUAGCCAAAGUAGAAGAAGUAUCAUGGAGGAAAAUGUCUAGGUGCCUAUAGCUCAAACAGGGAGAUAGGAACACCAAAUUCUUCUACAAAGUUGCCAACUCUAAUAAAAGAUCAAAUUGCUUUGACAGGUUGAAAGAGGCAGUGACAUUACCGAAGAUAAGGACUUAAUCAAGAGUGAAAUCCUAGGAUUUUACCAUCAACGGUAUAAAGAAAAUGAGACUUCGAGGCCAACAACAAGACUGAAAGAUGUAGCAUCAAUCACAAGGGAAGAAAAAAAGUGGCUGGAAAGACCUUUUGAGGAGUCUUAGGUACUGGAAGCAAUCAUAUGAAGUGCUCCAGACAAAGCUCCAGGCCUAGACGGGUAUACUAUGGCAUUCUAUCAAAAAACAUGGGACGUGAUCAAACAUGACAUUGUGAGUGCUAUCCAAUAUUUCCACCAAACUGGACAGAUGGUAAGAUAAUAUAAUGCAUCAUUUAUAGCCCUAAUCCCUAAAAAGAAAGGGGAUGGGGAAAUUGAGAGAUUAUAGACCAAUCAGUCUAAUUGGCAGUGUAUACAUAGUUGUUUCCAAAAUCCUAGCAGAAAGGUUGAAGGGUGUGAUAGGAAAGUUGGUAUCACGACACCAGAAUGCUUUCAUAAAAUAAAGAUAGAUCACAGAUGUAACAUUGUUAGCUAAUGAGUUUCUAGAUUGGAAGUAAAAAUCAUGGCAGCCUGGUCACCUGUUCAAAUUAGAUACUGAAAAAGCCCUCGAUUAACUAAAUUGGUCAUAUCUCAUCACUAUUCUGAGGAAAAUAGUUUUGGAGAAGUCUGGAUUAGGUGGAUCAAAUUUAGUAUUAUCAUAGUUAAAUACUCUAUUUUGAUCAAUGUUGGGCCUGUUUCGCAUUUUCUCCUCAGAAAGGUCUCAGAGAAGGUGAUCCUCUCUCUCUCUCUCUAUUUCUGUUUAUCCUAGCUAUGGAGGAGAUUAGCAAAAUAAUUAACAAAGCAAAUAAGUUGCACUGGAUGGAAGGAUUUAGGGUGGGGAAUGAUGCACAUAACUCAGUAUCAGUCUCACAUCUUCUUUAUGCAUAUGACACUCUCAUAUUUUGUGGGGUUUAGGGAUCACAAGUAAUGUACUUGAACCUCACACGUAUGAUUUUUGUAGCCAUAUCAAGUUUACAAAUGAACAAGUCAAAAAGUACAAUUAUCGUGUUAAUGAUGUUCCUGAUUUGAAAGAGCUAUCUGAUAUAAUAUGUUAUAGUGUGGGAUCCUUCCCAACUACAUACCUAGGCCUACCAUUGGGAGCAUCAUACAAAUCACAAGGAAUCUGGAGUGGGGUUAUUGAGAAGUUUGAGAAAUGAUUGACCUCUUGGAAAAUGCAGUACCUCUCUAUGGGAGGUACAUUAACGCUUAUUAACACUGUGUUGGAUAGUAUUCCUACAUACUUUAUGUAAUUAUUCCCAAUUCUAGUUAAAGUGAAGAAGAGGCUAGAUCAAAUCAGAACAAACUUCUUAUGGAAUGGCAACAGUCAAAGUCAUAAAUUUUAUUUGGUUAAAUGGUCAAAGGUUAUUUUACCAAAGGAGCAUGGAGGAUUGGGUUUUAAAGAUUUGAUAUUACAUAAUAAGAGUAUGAUAAUGAAAUGGAAUUGGAGGUAUAAUUUAGAGGAUCCUGGUUUGUGAUUAAUGCUAAACAUAGUGUGAUGAACAACUGGUGCACAAAACUUAGCAGAUUACCUCAUGGUACAAGCUUAUAGAAACACAUAUCCAGUUUAUGGGAUGAGUUCCAACUCAACUCAAAACUCAAGUUAGUGAGUGGAACACUCAUCAAGGUUUGGAAAGACAAGUGGCUGGGAAUAAUGACACAAAAAGAUGAAUUUUACAGUGAAGAAAGCAUAUGCACACCUAUGCUGCAACAAUAAACUGAUAAAUAAUUGGCCAUGAAAACUAAUUUGGCGAACAAAACUGCCUCCUAAUGUGAUUUGUUUAAGAUGAGUUGGCUUAAAUGUAACUUUCCUCACAUAAGACAACCUCAGCAGAAAGAGUAUACCAAUAAUGAAUAGAUGCUAGAUAUGCAAUUUGGAUUCUAAAAGUGUCAGACAUGUCUUUUUGCAUUGUCGUUUAGCAUGUGAUAUUUGUAACAUGUUCCUCCCCAUUUUUGGACAAGCCUGGGUCAAGCCUAAUAGCAUCAAGGAAGCAUAUGAAUGUUGGUAUUCAUGGAGAGUUGGUAAAUCCAUCAACAAAUGGGUAAUGGUACCUGCUGCUAUCUUUUGGUGCAUCUGAAAUGAAAGGAAUCAUAGAUGCUUUGAUGGAAUCUCAACUCCGACUCAUGUAAUCAAAGAAAAAUUCUUAUUGAAUUUGGUUAGUUGGAUAAAUCAUGCACAUGUAACUAGUUGUGUUCAAUUUUUAAUUGUGUCUGCUCCUUAGUUAUAGAAUUGUUUUUUGUAUAUAUGAGCAGACACCAUCUCUCUUAAUUGUAGUCUUUUGCCUGCAUCCGUUGAAUGCUUUUAAGGAAUUCUUCUUACUUUAUCAAAAAAAAAUAAAAAAUCAUGUUCACUGAUA